rnacentral:rRNA from 1 species
GGUUGCGAUCAUACCAGCACUAAUGCACCGGAUCCCGUUAGAACUCCGCAGUUAAGCGUGCUUGGGCGAGAGUAGUACUAGGAUGGGUGACCCCCUGGGAAGUCCUCGUGUUGCAACCCC